rnacentral:lncRNA from 1 species
AGUUUAGUGUUUUAAAUUUUGUUUUUAUGUUUUUAAGUCAGUUUUCAAGUGUUUAGCAAUCCCUCCUAAUCCUCGGCCUAGAACGAUCCCUACUUACAUACUUUACUACAUUUGAUAAAAAGAGGGUUUAAUUUUGUGUGUUAACUUAUUUUUCACAUCAUUUACUCUAUUAUAUCUUGGCAUGGCAUAUAUACAUAUGAAUAUGAUUAUGUGAAGCAUGAAUUGAAUUAAUAUGAUUUCAGAUAUAUAUAUGUAUAUGCUUAUGUCUUGAUUUUGGGAGAAUUUUACAUGUUUUACAGUGAAGGGUUAGUAUAUUGAUUAAUGAAAUGAAUUUGUAAAACAUUUGUUUUUGCCCACUCACGUUUUCUGUUUUGCGCCACUCCAGGUUCUAAGUAAGCUUGCUGUCGGUGGCUCGGGAUCAUCGGCAGUUCUGACCUAUUGGAAUAAUAGUAGGACAAUCCUGGUACUGUGUAACUAGUACUUGUCCUACUGGACUGCACCUAGACUUUAUGCUCCGAAUUAGGAGUGUUUAUUGUUGUAAUUAACUCCUAUCACUUUUUGUUUAGUAGUUGAUGUGAAAAUUAAGUUGACACACAAAUUGAACCCUAUUGAUGACAAUUGUAGUAUUAAGCAAGUAGGGAUUGUUCUAGACCGGAGAUUAACUAGGGAUGUUAAUCAACACAAAUAAGACUCAAAAACACUAAACUAGACUCUAUAGACUCAAAACCAACUCAAAACACUCAAAAUAGCAAGAAACAAUAGAAAAGACUCAAUUAUAGACCUAACAAGUGAUUUGGACGAAAAUAAAACUCAAUUUGACUCAAAAGAUUAAAAGAAAACAUAUUUUGACUCUAAAAACGAGACUUAAGAAAAAGGGAUUGUGUUUUGACGAAAUUAAAACUUAAAAACAGAAAUUUAUAAAACAAACUUAAGAAGACACGAAAUUGAUGAAAUAGAAUGGUGAAAGGCUAGUUAAAGGGUUCCUUCUCCACAUAUGACAUAUGCAUACAAAUCAAUUUCCAAUUAUUCAUUCGACAAACCAUGAAUGACAAUGCCCCAAAUUAAUUGUAUUGAACUAAUUAAUUCUCAGAUUUCCCUAGAUUCAUUGAAUUGAAUGGAAAACGCAUCACAACCAAAUUAUUCUUUAUCAAGUUCCCUAACCAUGGAAUACGCAUGAUAGAAACACUUAACAAAGAUCAUUAAGUUCAAUGGAAACCAUAAGCAUUGACGAGACAUUCAUAACUAUGAAAAACAUGUUACUCUUGCCUAGGAUUUACUUAACACAAUCGUGACUAGCGACUUUUACUACUCAUGAAUAUAAGUUCAUAACGAUUAGGUGAAAUUUCCUUAUACUCUAGCAUCAAAUUCAUCAUGCAAACUAAGUUGGCCACCUCAAUCAACAUACAAGAACAAGUUCUUAAUAAAACAGAUAAGCAAACCACAUUCACGCUUUAUGAAAUAAUAAUUGGCUGAAAUCAAUUCAUAUAAAACAUAUGAUCAUGGCUUCGAAUUCACCUCUAACUAUAAAGAAAUUAGUUCCUCAUGUUCACAAAUAAACAAAGAUAACUUAAAUUAAACAUUGAAAGUAAAAGAUGGAAAACACCUAAGAACGCUCCAGCACUCCCAAAGACUUGGGCAUAGGCACGGCACAAAGGCUCAUCUUCUUUCUCCUUGCAAUACUCACGGCACAAAAGGGAUGUAUGGUGAAUGAUGUAGUGAAUUGUGGUAGAGGGUGUGCUGCACAAAGGUUUGUAUUUAUAGGGCUAGGGAAACUCACAAAUUUCUGAAGGAAAGGAAUGUGUAUUUGGCAUAAUUCAUGAAGGAAAAGGACUUGGGUUCACCAAAAUCUGAAGGGAAAAGGUUUGUACAAUCCUAAGGGAAAAGGAUUGCAGGUUCUAGAGCUUCUAGAAAGGGUCCAGGCGCCAGAUUUGUAGGACAAGGGAUAAGGCCUUCUAGAAAGGUUGUUUUGUGGCUGAUUCUUAGAAAAACAAGGGAUAAGGUGCGGCACCUUUGUAGGAGUGGAUAAGGGCUUCUAGAAACCUAUUUUAAUGUGUCCUAAUAUGAAAAUAAAUCCCCCAUGUAGCUGGAAUUAAGUUAGGAUAGGAUAAGA